rnacentral:tRNA from 1 species
GCUAUCGUAGCGCAGAGGUUAGCAUGUCCGCCUAUGACGCUGAACGCCUGGGUUCGAAUCCUGGCGAAACCA